rnacentral:rRNA from 1 species
CCUACGGGAGGCAGCAGUGGGGAAUAUUGCACAAUGGGGGAAACCCUGAUGCAGCGACGCCGCGUGAGUGAAGAAGUAUUUCGGUAUGUAAAGCUCUAUCAGCAGGGAAGAAAAUGACGGUACCUGAGUAAGCAGCCCCGGCUAACUACGUGCCAGCAGCCGCGGUAAUACGUAGGGGGCAAGCGUUAUCCGGAUUUACUGGGUGUAAAGGGAGCGUAGACGGCAGAACAAGUCUGGAGUGAAAUGCCGGGGCUUAACCCCGGAACUGCUUUGGAAACUGUGCAGCUAGAGUGCAGGAGAGGUAAGUGGAAUUCCUAGUGUAGCGGUGAAAUGCGUAGAUAUUAGGAGGAACACCAGUGGCGAAGGCGGCUUACUGGACUGUAACUGACGUUGAGGCUCGAAAGCGUGGGGAGCAAACAGGAUUAGAUACCCCAGUAGUC